rnacentral:pre_miRNA from 1 species
UCUUAUGGAUGAACAAAGUGAGUGGUUUCUUCAGAUGAAAUCUACUCCUAGUGAAGAUGCUGUUGAA